rnacentral:rRNA from 1 species
UACGGAGGGUGCAAGCGUUAUCCGGAUUCACUGGGUUUAAAGGGUGCGUAGGUGGGUUGGUAAGUCAGUGGUGAAAUCUCCGAGCUUAACUUGGAAACUGCCACUGAUACUAUCAGUCUUGAAUAUUGUGGAGGUUAGCGGAAUAUGUCAUGUAGCGGUGAAAUGCUUAGAUAUGACAUAGAACACCAAUUGCGAAGGCAGCUGGCUACGCAUAUAUUGACACUGAGGCACGAAAGCGUGGGGAUCAAACAGG